AGGGGACUCGGGUAGUGGCGGACGGGUGAGUAACACGUGGGAACGUGCCUUUAGGUUCGGAAUAACUCAGGGAAACUUGUGCUAAUACCGAAUGUGCCCUUCGGGGGAAAGAUUUAUCGCCUUUAGAGCGGCCCGCGUCUGAUUAGCUAGUUGGUGAGGUAAAGGCUCACCAAGGCGACGAUCAGUAGCUGGUCUGAGAGGAUGAUCAGCCACAUUGGGACUGAGACACGGCCCAAACUCCUACAGGAGGCAGCAGUGGGGAAUCUUGCGCAAUGGGCGAAAGCCUGACGCAGCCAUGCCGCGUGAAUGAUGAAGGUCUUAGGAUUGUAAAAUUCUUUCACCGGGGACGAUAAUGACGGUACCCGGAGAAGAAGCCCCGGCUAACUUCGUGCCAGCAGCCGCGGUAAUACGAAGGGGGCUAGCGUUGCUCGGAAUUACUGGGCGUAAAGGGAGCGUAGGCGGACAUUUAAGUCAGGGGUGAAAUCCCGGGGCUCAACCUCGGAAUUGCCUUUGAUACUGGGUGUCUUGAGUAUGAGAGAGGUGUGUGGAACUCCGAGUGUAGAGGUGAAAUUCGUAGAUAUUCGGAAGAACACCAGUGGCGAAGGCGACACACUGGCUCAUUACUGACGCUGAGGCUCGAAAGCGUGGGG
rnacentral:rRNA from 1 species